GCAGGCAUUUCAGAUACUCAACAAAAUAGCAGAAGCAACAAAUUUCAGUGCCAACACGCUCUGCAGAUUGAAGCCAUUGUUUCCGGGUCUGGACCCUGUUUUCUUGAAAAACUUACUCGUAUCUGAAACUCCACUUGAUUGUCAUUGUUGGAGUUCCCUGCUGUCUAAUCUGCGUCCUGCUCAUCGAGCGAUGGUCCAUUUUGCUCUCCAACAGGCUCUGGAACGCAUUUCUGCAAAUGUAACCCAGCAGCUGCAAUGCCUUGUACCAUUCGUCUCCUUGAAGAAAAUAAUGUCAGAUCUAGAUGGCGAGGCAGUUCUUCAACAUAUAUCUCUGUUAAAGCAUAUGCCCUGGUCUCAUCAACAGGCUCAAAUGCUGUUCAAGAUAAUUCAGCGGACUGUAAACAUCACAAGAGAGUCAAUACUG